rnacentral:tRNA from 2 species
UUAGCUGAAACCAAAAAGAGGUAUAUCAUUGUUAAUGAUAAAAUUGGAAAUAAAUCCCCAGCUAAG